GUCCACGCCCUAAACGAUGUCAACUAGUUGUCGGGAAGUUAUUCCUUGGUAACGAAGCUAACGCGUGAAGUUGACCGCCUGGGGAGUACGGCCGCAAGGUUAAACUCAAAGGAAUUGACGGGGACCCGCACAAGCGGUGGAUUAUGUGGAUUAAUUCGAUGCAACGCGAAAACCUUACCUACCCUUGACAUGUCAGGAACCUCGCAGAGAUGUGAGGGUGCCCGAAAGGGAACCUGAACACAGGUGCUGCAUGGCUGUCGU
rnacentral:rRNA from 1 species